rnacentral:lncRNA from 1 species
CAGAUGAACAGUGGGUGUCCACUACGGGGUUACUGCCUGCUAGGCAGCAGCACACUUGUUUUUCUACCAUCAUGGCUGAGCUAAUAACAAUCUCUAAGUAGCACCUGCCGUCAUCUUCAUCAUCAGUCUUCUGCCAGGCUCUUCCACGGUCAAAUCCAAUCACAAGCCAGGGAGUAGGGAAGCCCACUUUCUGUGGACACGGAGCAAGAUGGCAGCAAGUAAAUAAUGAGUCUGGAGAAGGAAACAGAGAAUUACCAGGGAUCGAACUCGGGACCUUGCGCUUGUGAGGCAGGCACCGGAACCACUGAGCUAAAUCCCCGGCCUAACACAAAGUCAAGGUGCAUUUUUGACAGUACUGGAGAUCGAACCCAGGACCUUGCACUUACCAUGCAUGUGUGGUACCAUGGAGCAACAUCCUUAGCUCUUGAUAGGCACAUUUGAUAAUUGUUUGUCUCUGAGGAUUAUAUGGAAUAAAACUGUAAUGUUUUAGUCUCUUUUUGG